rnacentral:rRNA from 1 species
GAUGAACGCUGGCGGCGUGCCUAAUACAUGCAAGUCGAGCGAACAGAUGAGGAGCUUGCUCCUCUGACGUUAGCGGCGGACGGGUGAGUAACACGUGGAUAACCUACCUAUAAGACUGGGAUAACUUCGGGAAACCGGAGCUAAUACCGGAUAAUAUAUUGAACCGCAUGGUUCAAUAGUGAAAGACGGUUUUGCUGUCACUUAUAGAUGGAUCCGCGCCGCAUUAGCUAGUUGGUAAGGUAACGGCUUACCAAGGCAACGAUGCGUAGCCGACCUGAGAGGGUGAUCGGCCACACUGGAACUGAGACACGGUCCAGACUCCUACGGGAGGCAGCAGUAGGGAAUCUUCCGCAAAGGGCGAAAGCCUGACGGAGCAACGCCGCGUGAGUGAUGAAGGUCUUCGGAUCGUAAAACUCUGUUAUUAGGGAAGAACAAAUGUGUAAGUAACUAUGCACGUCUUGACGGUACCUAAACAGAAAGCCACGGCUAACUACGUG